CGUACACUCCUGCGGGAGGCAGCAGUGGGGAAUAUUGCACAAUGGGCGCAAGCCUGAUGCAGCGACGCCGCGUGGGGGAUGAAGGCCUUCGGGUUGUAAACUCCUUUCGCUAGGGACGAAGCUUUUUUGUGACGGUACCUAGAUAAGAAGCACCGGCUAACUACGUGCCAGCAGCCGCGGUAAUACGUAGGGUGCGAGCGUUGUCCGGAAUUACUGGGCGUAAAGGGCUCGUAGGUGGUUUGUCGCGUCGUCUGUGAAAUUCUGGGGCUUAACUCCGGGCGUGCAGGCGAUACGGGCAUAACUUGAGUGCUGUAGGGGUAACUGGAAUUCCUGGUGUAGCGGUGAAAUGCGCAGAUAUCAGGAGGAACACCGAUGGCGAAGGCAGGUUACUGGGCAGUUACUGACGCUGAGGAGCGAAAGCAUGGGUAGCGAACAGGAUUAGAAACCCUGGUAGUCCCAUGA
rnacentral:rRNA from 1 species